rnacentral:rRNA from 1 species
CAGUAGCCGCGGUAAUACGUAGGUGGCAAGCGUUGUCCGGAAUUAUUGGGCGUAAAGCGCGCGCAGGCGGAUCAGUUAGUCUGUCUUAGAAGUUCGGGGCUUAACCCCGUGAGGGGAUGGAAACUGCUGAUCUAGAGUAUCGGAGAGGAAAGUGGAAUUCCUAGUGUAGCGGUGAAAUGCGUAGAUAUUAGGAAGAACACCAGUGGCGAAGGCGACUUUCUGGACGAAAACUGACGCUGAGGCGCGAAAGCCAGGGGAGCGAACGGGAUUAGAUACCCCCGUAGUCCCUGUCUCUUAUACA